GCCCGGCUGGCUCAGUCAGUAGAGCAUACGACUCUUGAUCUCAGAGUCAUGAGUUCAAGCCCCAAGUUGGGCA
rnacentral:tRNA from 1 species